GGGAAGGUCGGUUGGAUGUCCCGAAGAAUUUCUUCUCCGACAGAGCGGCGAUGCGUCGGCUGCCCCAGGAGGCGGGGCGGUCCCCAUCCCUGGUGGCGCGAGACGCGGCACGGGGGGACGUGGGCAGCAUUGGCGGCAGGCGGGCCGUUGGGCUGGAUGACCUUUGAGGUCGCUUCCAACCUCAUGGCUCUCUUUAGACACCCCGGGGGCCAACUCCAUCCUGCACGCUGCUGUCGGCUCUGAGGUCUGAUCGGAGGCCUUCUCCUUUCCCUCGAGGCGCUGCUCGGCCGCUGUGUUGCUGCAGGGGUGCUGCGUGAGCGCAGAGCACAGCCGGCUUUGUCCACCCUGACAGGCUCACCUUUCUUCCUGCCUAGAAACACCGCUGCGGGACUCGGCCCCCCCCCCAGGGAAAGCAGAAGCUCCAGCGCGGGGCUGGGGACUAGAAGAGCCCCGUUAUGUGCUACGGAACAAAGGGAACAUCGAGCGAGAAGCCACCUCGCUUCGCAGAGCACCCCGGCUCCCGCUCCAGCUGCUCCGUGCCGGGGGAGCAGCAGCACUGAGCCCUCCCGGGUCCCGCAGAGCUGCAAAGGAGCACGAGGGGCAGAGAGGAGAUUCUGAGCGCUGGUGGUAAACUCAUUUCAAGGAGUCGCACUCAAUUUGCAGCGAUGGAUGCUCAUCGUGGCUUUGUUCCCUCAUCUACAAAGAGCAGCGCCGCAGAGGGGCUUUGAUGAUCCCUCUCGUUUGGACAGCUGGCAGGGAGCAGGAUGCACGCAGGAAUAGAAGGGCACAGGGGAGCCACGGCGUCCCCUUCACGAGAGCAAACGGAGAGGCUGGGCGUCUGUAAAGUGGGGGAUGUGGGGUUCUAUCCUAGUGAUGCAAUUGGAAAGUGAAAGCUCUCGCACUGCGUGGGAGAGCAGAAAUCCGCUCUGCGUCUUGAAAUAGUUGCACGUGAAGUCCUGCCCUCAACUCGCGACCUGCAACCUGCACGGCAUGGCUCUCGAGAGCCCAUUGUAGGGGCGGUUGUUGCACUGCUGGGCUCCUCCAGCUCUUGGGGUCAGCGUGGCAUCGCACGCCCAGGGACGUCGGCGUCAGGGGGAGCCAAGCCCAGCAUCGUCAGCACAGCUGUCAGGGCCCCGGGUGGGCCCUAAUGAGGCCCCCAGGUGCCACAGGGCUGGGCUGCCCUAGCACAGCUGCGCCUUAUCGGCAGCUCAGGGCAGGGCCCGCCCUCAACGCCUCUUAAACCCCCACCAGAGCUUGCUGGGAUCCACUGGGGGCUGCUGGGAGCUCAGGGGCUCAUUCAGGGCUUGCUGCAGCAUGCUGCCAGGCUCCCACGCUGCUCUCUCUUUUUGGGGAGGGUGCUGGGCUUCUGCUGGGCUUUUUUGGGGUCUGUUUCUGCUGGGCUCCUCUGCUCUUUUGGAGUCAGCGUGGGGUGGCCCUGCUGGGCUCUGGCUGUGUUUUCUUCUUUUUGGUGGUGGUAUGGGAUUGCUGUUGGUGCCCCUGCCCUCUUUGGGUCCAGCACAGGGCUGCUCUUGGCUCCCCUCUGCUCCUUAGAGCCUAUGCAGCACUUUUGCAAAGCAGCUCUCCUAGCCCCUUUGUGGGGUUAGUUAAGGGCAGUUUGCAGGUGCUGCAGCAACGGAGGAGAGCAGAACGGAGCUGUGCCCCUUAGCCCGGAGCUGCUGGGGGUCAGAAGGUUCGCAAGGGGCUGCUUUCAAAACCCCAAAUGCUGGGGAUAUCCAUUUAAUCACGUUUGUUCUCUCUCCUUUUUGUUUCUCUCUUGCAGGGCGAGAGCUCCAGCGAGGAUCAGCCCGCAGUACCGAGCGGCUGUGGCAGCGAUGGGAGCGUGGAGCUGAGUCCCGGGGGUCCGGGAGAGCACGUUCCCUCGUGCCCAGACCUCGGGGGCUCUUUGCUUGCAGCAGGAGGAUCCUUCUGCCCUUCUAUUGGGGUCGAUGCAGUGCUGCUGCUGGGCUCCCCAUCUUCUUUUUCUGGGUUCUACUGGACUCCCCGAGGCUGAGCACAGCCCUGGGGGUGCCCACUGCCCCCCUUGGUUGCAGCAGCAGGGGCGUGCAGGAUGGAACCACGGUUGUCCCCUCCCCAGCCCUAUUGCUGCCGGGAGUAAGAAGCAAUGCCAGGGACAGCUAAGUUGAAAGCAGUGCUUUAAAUCACUUGCUGUGCUUUUAUCUUUUUGAUUUCCCCAAAAAGCUGUUGCAAGGUAAGGCGCUUUGCAGCAGGGAUCAGCCCAGAGAUGCAAGGUUCCCGCUGCACUGGGACUGCAGAGACGAGCACUGGGAUGUGGCGGUGUGAAUCUUUAGUUUUACUCAUGAAUUUUGUUCACAGAACCACAGGAUUGUAGGUGCUGGAAGGGACCUCCGGAGGUAAUGAAGUUAACCCCUCUGCAAACUGCAUCAUAGAGGUGCUCCAGGCCCUGCAUCGUCUUUGUGGCCUUCUGCCGGACUCCUUCCAGGAGAUCCCUCUCUUUGUUUGUACUGAGGAGCCUGGAAUGGGAUGCAGUACUGCAGGUGUGUAGCUCUGCAGCUUGUCCAGGUCCUGUGGAAUGGCAGCACAGCCUUCCGGUGCAUCAGCUGCUCUUCCAAGGUAGAUGACAUUGGCUCUCUCCUCCAUCUGCAUGCCUGGCGAUGCCAUUGUGGAAGACACCGAGGGCCUUGGUUUGUGGGUUCCACUACAGCAGCAGCCCCUCAGAGGAGGUUUGAGGAGCUGUUCUCGCCACAGGGGCAGGGCUGGAGCAAGGUCCUGGUGCAGUCUGUCUAAGGGAGGAAGGCUGCCAGCUGUGCCCUUGUCCCCUGUUGGGGUUGUGGGGUGAUGGAGCUGCUUUCUGCAGAAGGUGCAUGGCGUCCAGGAGGAGCUGAGGGGAUCUGGCAGCCAUUGGAUGUUUUGUGUUCCUGAUGGGAGCAGUGGCUUCUGUGAGCAGUGCCAAUUGUCCAGCUUUCCCAGGGUGUGGAGGAGCAGCAUGAUGGGGGCUCCCUGUGCGAGACCAAGGAUUUAAGCUGCUGCUGCUCGGAGUGGUGUGGUUCCCCUUCUGUCUGCAGUAAGCUUGAGGUGGCAGCAGAAGUGGUAGAUUUCAGAUAAUGUCUGCAGGAGAAGAGAACAUGCUUGUGAGUAUCUAACAUCUCUGGCCACCAGCAAUAGCUUACCAGCAGCUUGAGGCCUUUGGGUGCAUGGUAAUGCUAUUCUGUUCCAGGAGCUGGAGCUUGAAAUAAUGCUCUUGAGUGGGGAGGCUUGCUGCUUUGCUCUAUCAAAGGAAACAAAAACUAAAUUGAGCAAGGCAACUCAUGAGGUUUGAUGUAAAGACAAAAGAAAUCUGGCACUCACCCUCUAAUGCUUGGAGAUCUGCUCUUCAUCCUCUGCUCCCUCGAAGCUGCUUCAUUUCAGGUACCCUUAUGCAUCUAGAAGAAAGCGAGUAGCUGCAUUGAAGAAUGUUUUCCAAUAUGUACAAGUUUGUACUGAUAUUGAUGGUUAAAUGUUAUUAAUAAAUGGGAAAGAAUAAAUAUUUGUUACAGCUGACUACUAUCAUUACACUGUGUCUCUACAUAAGAGUAUGUCUAUAUGUUGUUUCUUCUAGAAGCAUGCAAUACAGAACAAGGUGAGCACUGAGAAAGCUGUAGGUCCUGGGAGCUCUGCAGCGUCCCU
ensembl:lncRNA